GUUUGAACUGUAUGACUUUGACUGAUUAUUCAGACUGAUUCUUUCCUUACCAAUGCUUAUAUAAAGUUAUAAUAUAUUCUUUGGUUUCCUUGUUUUUCCUUGAAUUUUACUCUGACAUGAAGAAGAACAGAACCUCAGUGAGAAGCUGAUAUCAUUCUGGCAUGACACCAUGUAACUCAGUUGAUUGUAGGAGUGCAACACCUGAUAAAUAUGGCUUUCAAUCUUCACAUAGAAAAAAAAAAAAAGAAAAAAAAAAGAUUCUGUUAAGCCCCCAAAUCUUUCAACUGAUAAGUACAGGUGGCCAACCACAAAUUUAGGAAUCCAACACACAAGCCCAUUUUAAACUGCCUACGGGUACACCAGACAGAAAACAAGCUUUAACAGCAGUCAUACACCAGAGGUCACCUAAAUUCAUUGUGAGGAGUGGGAUGGAGAGGAGCAUACAGAAGUGAUACAGGGUUCUCUUGAGCAGACAGGAAAUUUUUUUGUGCUUCUUGUGACCCCAACAAGUUUACUGCAAGCAACAGGGCACAGGCUUACAACCUUUGCUUCUCAGUGUUAGCAGCAAUCUAAGGAACACAGGGGGAAAGGCAUAUGAGUUCAAACACAAGUUAUAUUGAAGUCAGUGGCAAAAUUCUCAAAGAGAACAACUGAGUGGAAAUGGAGAAUGGACAAAAGGCACAUGGAGAGAGCAGACAAAGCAAGGGAAAAAUAUGCGUUGUUAAGAAAGACUUGCGAGAACAAAAAGCAAAAACGUAAGGUUUUCUAUAUAUAUAAUGUAGAAGAAUAGAGGCAAAAAAAUAAACUUUCAUUAACAUCCUUUUGGAUAGUUGAU
rnacentral:lncRNA from 1 species